UUCAAAAGCUGUUUACUCAGAAACAGGCAGCCUACUCCUCCACUACUUGGUGAGAUAUCAGAUUAAAAAAAGCAGCCACCAAGGAUAGCACAUCAGAAAUGACGUACGCAGUCACAAUGGGAGGUAUUUAUGCAAGGAUGAGGCACUUCCCUCCCCCAUGCUGCGUGCAAGCCAAGAAGGAACAUUAUGGAUAGCUGAAAAAUCACCUCUUCCCUCAUCUUACUGAAGAAAGAAGACAAGAAUGUCUGGAUAAUUGAUUUGGAAUAUUCACAGUGUCUUGUAGAAAAGAACCGCAGUAUAAAUUACAUUACUUCCUCUAAGGUGAUGGGGCUGAUGAGGAGGGGUGUUCUACUUGACCUUGCUCACCUAACAGGAAAGUCCUGGGGAUGUGAAAACUGGGGGCAGAUUGGGAUACAGUGAUCAUGAGAUGGUGGAGUUCAAGGCCUUGUAUGGAAGAAGAAAAGCAGUAAGUAGGAUUUCUACCCUGGACUUCAAGAGAGCUGAUUUGGAGGUAUCCCAUGGACUAGACUGCUAGAGGGUAAGGGGGCCCGUGAAAGCUGGUUGGCACUUAAACACCACUUCUUCCAAGCUCAAGAUCAGUGCAUCCCUAAGAGUAAG